UCUCCGUUGGUGAACCAGCGGAGGGAUCAUUACCGAGUUGAAAAACUCCAACCCCUGUGAACAUAACCUCUGUCGUUGCUUCGGCGGGCUCGCCCGCCGGAGGUUACAAACUCUUGUAUAUUUUUUUAGCAUCUCUGAGCCUAAAAGACAAAUAAUCAAAACUUUCAACAACGGAUCUCUUGGUUCUG
rnacentral:misc_RNA from 1 species